rnacentral:rRNA from 1 species
UACGGGGGGGCAAGCGUUGUUCGGAAUUACUGGGCGUAAAGGGCUCGUAGGUGGCCGACUAAGUCAGACGUGAAAUCCCUCGGCUUAACCGGGGAACUGCAUCUGAUACUGGAUGGCUUGAGUUUGGGAGAGGGACGCGGAAUUCCAGGUGUAGCGGUGAAAUGCGUAGAUAUCUGGAGGAACACCGGUGGCGAAGGCGGCGUCCUGGACCAACACUGACACUGAGGAGCGAAAGCCAGGGGAGCAAACGGG